UGGAAGCAGUGAGCCCUGCCCCCAACUCUCUCCACCUCCAGCCUCACACCUGCUUCCCGUUGCUCAAUUACUCUCAGCUGCCAGCCAUCAGAGCCGCACGCUUUGGAGCGGAGCCCUGGAGGGCUUGGGGGCCCUCGGGAGCUUUUGGCGGCGAUUUAUAGCCAAGGGGAGAAUUGAUGUGCCUGCCUGUGGGGGAGGGCUGCAGGCCAAGAAAACUUAACACCAGGGGUGUCUAUGUGGUCUCACCUUAAAGGGCGAGUGAUGAUGCUGUGAGCCCAAGGAGCUGUGAGAACCCCGUGAAGAUGUUCCUCCGAGAGCCUUUGCAGUCCUAAGCCCUGUCUCCACCUGUGCCACCAGCAUCGGCAUCCUCUCCUCGUCACCCUCGACUUCCCUGAUUCCUCCUCAUUCCGGUUCUUCACAUCACCCUCAUGGAGAGGAAACAACAGCAGCAUUCCUGGCGUUCUCACCAUGUGCCCUCUUUUUAGUGCUUUUCCUCACUCACUCACUCACACCCACCCUAGGUUGUGUCCCCAUUGUACAGAUGAAAAAACUGAGGCAUAGAGAGGUAAGGUGAGGGGAGGAGCCAAACAGAGCGGGUGUGCUCAGGUCCUGGGCCACCUGCCUCCCAGCAUCAGAGCGAAAAAAGGAGGGAUGCGCCUGCAGAAUGGAAACCCGGAUGGUCCCUCCCUGAGGUCAGGAAGCGGGUGCUGUCCACUGAGCUGUCUCCCCAGUCCAACGUCCCCCCUCCUCCUGAGGACAGGGCCCUGUCUGUCUAGUUCACCACCUGAAGCCACGCCGGCCCAUCCAUGGCAGGGGCUCAGACAGGAAAGGCUAAAUUGAAAGAGCACAUCCUUGAGUGCAUGACGACAGGGACCGCCAAGCGUCGCGAGGGCGGGUGAAAGCCAAGCAGCUUCAGAGUGGGGCGGGGAGUGGGGGUGGGCAGGGCUCUCAGAGUGACAAAAGCUUCUCUGC